AGGGAAUCUUCCACAAUGGACGAAAGUCUGAUGGAGCAACGCCGCGUGAGUGAUGAAGGUUUUCGGAUCGUAAAACUCUGUUGUAAGGGAAUAAAGUGAGGCACGUGUGCCUUAUUGUAUGUACCUUAGGAAUAAGCAUCGGCUAACUCCGUGCCAGCAGCCGCGGUAAUACGGAGGAUGCAAGCGUUAUCCGGAUUUAUUGGGUUUAAAGGGAGCGUAGGCGGACUAUUAAGUCAGCUGUGAAAGUUUACGGCUCAACCGUGAAAUUGCAGUUGAAACUGGUCGUCUUGAGUGCAGUAAAGGUGGGCGGAAUUCGUGGUGUAGCGGUGAAAUGCUUAGAUAUCACGAAGAACUCCAAUUGCGAAGGCAGCUCACUGGAGUGUAACUGACGCUGAUGCUCGAAAGUGUGGGUAUCAAACA
rnacentral:rRNA from 1 species